AUUUUCGAGAGUUUGAUCCUGGCUCAGAACGAACGCUGGCGGCGCGCCUAACACAUGCAAGUCGAACGAGAAGGCGUAGCAAUACGCUUGUAAAGUGGCAAACGGGUGAGUAAUGCAUGGGUAACCUACCCUCUGGUGGGGGAUAACUCCCCGAAAGGGGUGCUAAUACCGACUAUACGCACCGGCCUCGCAAGGGGCUGGUGGAAAGCCGAGCCGAGGGUUCGGCACCGGAGGAUGGGCUCAUGUCCUAUCAGCUUGUUGGCGGGGUAAUGGCCCACCAAGGCUACGACGGGUAGCUGGUCUGAGAGGACGACCAGCCACACUGGCACUGCGACACGGGCCAGACUCCUACGGGAGGCAGCAGUGAGGAA
rfam:Nitrospirae bacterium 13_2_20CM_2_61_4 13_2_20cm_2_scaffold_193994, whole genome shotgun sequence.